UAAAGACUUCUGUAAGUAUAUCCUUAUUCCUUUCCCAUCUGAUGCUUCCUGUGCCAUGCAAAUCUUCCAUUCAGGGCAGAAAGAAGACACAGGGAGAGGAGUGGAGAAUUCAACUCACUUUCGGUCAAACUACUGUGAGUGACCAUGUUGACUUAUUUCUUUAGCGGUACACCUAGGCACUCUGUUGCUUCUAGGACUAUCUUGAAUGCCUGUAAUCAACCCAGCACACCAUAGAUCCCAUGGCCUACUUACUUAGUUUUCACAAAACUGAUUUUGCAAAACCAGAGCUGAAGUUCAGCUCUUGUUCUAUUCUUCUUUCUACUGUGUGAUACAUCAUGGAGAAGAUCAGUUUAUUUGCAGUACGUGUUACCAUAAAUAGUCAAGAGAUGUUAAGGCAGGAACCUACAGGGAAGAACUAAAGCAGGUAGCAUGGGGGAAACACACCUCCUGGCUUUCCCCCCCACAUCUUCUCAGCCUGUUGUCUUCUGCUUCCUAGGACCAUCUUCCCAAUGUCCCCCCUCAAUCAAUCAUGAGGAAAAUGCCCUAAAGAAUUACCUGUAAUCAAAUAGAAGCAUUUUUCAAUAGAAUUUGCUCUUCCCAGAUACUGUAGCUCAUGUCAAGUUGAACAAAACGUAAGUAGCACAUACCUCCAGAUACCAGCCCAUAUCCCCAUGACCUCUAAGGUGUUCAAGGACACUAAGAAUGUUCACUUGUUAUCGUCUCUGUUCUGUGAACUUUCCCUUCAAAGUCUGUGGCCAGGGGGAGUGAUGAGUCUCUUCCCCCGGUGAUGCACUGUGCUGUGGAACUGUGAGCUGAAAUAAAUGCUUCCCUUCCUAAGUUGCUUUUGAUCCUGGAGUUUUAUCACAGCAAGAAAAACCCUAAGACAGAAGGGCAGAUGCAUUUUGUUGUUAAACUGUAAGAUCGCAUUUUACCCAGUGCAUUGUUUAGAUCUAUAGUCAGAGGUUACGCAUCUCUACAGAGGCAUAGGCUGCUCCCCUUGAUGUGUGGGCUCUGGAUGGUACCUGACAAUGUGAAGGUUUGUAUCCUUCUUUGGUAUUUGACUUUAUUAUCCCCACCUAGAAAAUGUAAAUUCAAUUCCAGGCCCCAAAUUCCCUUGAGGAUGGAUAGAACGCAUUGGACCCAGAGUUAGAAGUUCUGGCUUAGAUGCUGGCUAUGUACUUUGAGCAGCUAAAUUAAAAUUCUCGAGCCUAUGGUUUCCUCAUGUGAUGAGCUAGAACUCUGCUGCAAGACUGCUUUCUCUCAAGUAUUAGGGGAAGCUUUUCAGGUAUGAAGUAGCACAGGACUAUAUUAGAAAACAGGAUUGAAAUGUGAGAAGCUCCCUAAUCCAACUUCAGAAGGAGAGGCCUUGGGGGAGUUGUAAGUUGGAGGAACCAGAUGUGAAGGCUCUUAAUUUUUUUUCAAGAAACUUUCUUAUUUUUGUUCCCAACAGGACACAGCUAGCUGCUGGGACACAAAACUUGAAGAGCAGCAUCCCAGAUCCAAGUGUGUGAUUCAAGAAAACAAUCCUAGGGUAUGGGGGGUGGUUGGGUCUUAUCAAAUAUGUCUCCCUAUGAGCAUAUCUUCAGGAAAGGAGAGUGAGGGUACACCCGGCCUUAAAUUUAUGCCUAGAGAAAUCAUGGCUGUAAAGCUAAGGGAACCAAAAAAUUGUGAUAUUGCCUAUGGUUCUUUGAGACAGAAACUUUAAUAUGGCUCAGUGAGGAUGCCCUAUGUGGGCUUUAGAUGGUUCUUAGUGCAGAAACUCCUAGGAGUCCUAAGCAUCCAAAAUGACCCCACACACAUAUGAAAGCUGGCAUUAUCUGUCAGCCAGGAAAUCGUAUUCCACAUCUAUGCUUAGCUUUUCUGUUUCCUUACUCUCUUACACAUAUCCCCGUCUCCAACACAAGAACCGAGCCCGAGAGCCUUGGCCUUUGGUGCCUCGUCCUGCCUAUAGAGGAGUUGAAAUAAAUACCUUAAGCAUCCUUCCUAUUUGACAUGAACCUGGACUUAGGUGGAUUAUUAUUUUUUCUUCAACCUUAUCUCUCUUAUUACUUGAGCAAAGACAAAUUGUUCUAGGACUCUGAAACCCAGAAUAUGGACAGAUAAUAAAACAUCACAGACUUUCAAGUCUCAAGUCACUUUCAACUCAUGCUCACUUCCGACUAUGGGGCCUGAGAGCUGCUUUUGAAUUUAUUGGAGCUACACUUUCUCCAUCACAGAACGUUUAGGUACAAGUGACAACUCAUGCUACUGAGGAUGUGGAGCAACAGGAAUCAUGGCUGGUCGGAGUGCAAACUUGUAUAGCCCCUUUGGAAGUCAAUAUGGUGGUUUCUCAGAAAAAUUGAAAAUUGACCUACCUCAAAACUCAGCUAUACUACUCCUGGGCAUAGUCCCAAAAGAUUUUCUAUUCUAUCAGAAAGACACUUUUACCUUCAUAAGAGCCAGAACAACCUAAAUACCUCUCAAACAAGGAAUGGAUAAAGAAAAUGUGGUAUAUUUACAGAGUGGAAUAUUGUUCAGCUGUUAACAAUGACAAAGUGAAAUUUUCAGGCAAAUAGAAGGAACUAGAAAAAAAAUCUGAGGUAACCCAGACCCAGAAAGACAAACAUGGAAUAUUUGAAUAAAUGAAUAUUACCUAUAAAGUAAAAGAGAACCAUAGUAUAGUCCACAGACUCAGAGGGGCCAAGUAACAAGAAGGACUUAAGGGGACACCAAGGAUCUCCCUGGGAAGGGGAAAUAGAGUAGAUUUCACAGGUAGACUGGGAGCACAUGAGGCUGGGGAGCAGGACUAAUUAAGUUGAGGAGAGGAUGGAGGGAAUAGUGGGAGAAAUGCCUGGAAUUGGGGAACUUGGGGGUUGAGGUAGAAACCUGGUUGCAAUGGAAACCCCAUGGAAUCUAUAAGAGUAACUAUAGGAAAUAUUCCUAGUGAUGAAUGACUGGGAGACUGCAACCAUUUUCUGCAACCAUGUUCUGCAACCAUUCAAGGCCUCAAGUGGAGGGACUGGGACACCAACUGAACCACCAAACUUUCAACCUCCAGUUUGUCCUGCCUUCAAAGUCUGAUGGAACUAGAGCAUAGCCAAAUCAUCAUCCAAGAGAUCAGAGAGAUUUCAUGUAGCAACUGAUGGGAGCAGAUGCAGAGCCUCAGAGCCAAACAUUAGUCAGAGCUCAGGCAGGAGGAGAAAGGAUCAGAUGAACCACCAGAAACCAGAAGGGACAUAACAUGGGAACGUGGCCCACAGGAUCAUGGACACUUGAGAGAUGGAGGAACCUGUAGGGGUCUGACCUAGGUCCUCUACAUAUGUUAUGUAGUACUUUGGUGUUCUUGUGGAAUCCUAACAGUGGGAGAGGAGGGGGUUGUUCCUGACACUUUUGCCUAUUUGUAGGUUACCUUGUCCAGCAUUAUUGUAGCUUGCUAUGCCAUAUUUGGUUGAUGUCCUUGGGAGGCCUGCUCUUUUCUGAGGGGAGUGGGGAGAGGCUGAGAGAGGGAAGGGAAGAGAAACUAUGAGAGAAUAAUAGAAGCAAAAAUUUCUGGUUUCUUUGGAGAUUCGAUUGUCUCGUGUGAUGUUUUUCUGGAAACUCUUAUAAGAGGAUGUUUUUAUUAAAGCAGACAUGUGGGAGGUGUUUUGCUGAGAACAGACACGUAAUGUUUUUCUGAAAGCUGCCUGGAAAAGGGGUACUCGAUGUUUUGGUAGAGCAGACACUAGAGAGAACACAUGAUGUUUGAAAGAGGUGCAAAUACAACCCAGUAGUCAGUGGGCGAUGCUGGGUGGCACUGCUUUGCCUUACCUUCUUCACUGGUCAUUGUUUGUUGUGACUUCAUAGAAAGAAACACAUCAAAGAACUUCCGGUGGUAUUCCAGCAGCUUCUUGGCCAGUUCUGAUGACUCAGGCUGAUUGGCAGAGCCUUGCGGUUUCUUCUGAAUCAUACUGUUGUUUCUGAUUCGAGAAUGGGAUGUGAGUGGACCAAGCUACCACUGCUGACUCAUGUGAGCUGAGCUGCUGAUAUCCUGACAAUGCAGACUGGAUUCAUCCCGAAGAACUAUUUCUAAUCAGACCUGGUGCAGAGUGAUGCAGUCAACUGGCUUCAUUCUUCUGCCACUGUGCUUUUCCCAUCAUGAUGGACUGUGUCUCCUGGAAGUCUAAGCCAACAUAAGCCCUUUCCUCUUUAAGUUGCUUUUGUCAGGGAUUUUUAUUGCAGGAACAGGAAAUGAAACUCAAGCAUUGCAUUGUCCCUGGAUGAAAAGCACAAGUUUCACUAAGGAGGAGGGCAGAGACGACUGGUGUCCUAGCUGUCCACCAAACAGUGACUGCAGAGAACACAUAUGAUCUCUGUUUUUGUACUGGAAGAUCAAACAAAAAGAAUGCAGCAGAGAAGCUCCUGCCCGGAAUGCAAAGAAAGCAUUUGCUGUCUUCUUACCCUCUGAAGAACUGGUACAGGGAAAGAUCUGCCAUCAGCCCUGGAGUUUACUUCUUUCUGUCAUUACAAAUUACAUAGCGAGUCAUCAACCAUAUAUUAAGCAUGAGGUAACUAGGCUCAGAAAGGAUAAGACAUUGGCUCUGUUCCUUGGCUUAAAAGCAUCAAGUCGGGUUGUGCACUCAACUUCAUGAAUCCAUAAACACAUGGUAUAACCAUCUUUCCACAAGCAACAGUCAUGGCUGAGGUCUGGUCAUCCUCUCUAGCUGCAGAAGGGGGAUGGGUAAUGGAGCUCAACGGAGCAGCAGAGGGCGCGUGGUGACUUGUUUCUUCAACAGGAAGCAGAACUCUGAGAAGACAGAGAAAUUAAAGCGUCCCCCGCACAGAGCAGAAGGCAGUGCAUGCCUGAGCCAGGAGCCACCUCUAGUCAGAGAUAAGUCAGAGAACGGACCACAGUCACGGAGAUGUUUCUGGGGAGAAAAGACAUGGCAGAAGUUGUUGCUUAGGGCACAGGAUGCCAUCCACACCUAAGGAGCUCCUACUGGCUGCACUGAUGUGGGAUUGUGUCCUAGUGAUUCUGACUUCAGCCUCCUAUUUCAGCUUCAUGAGCAGUGAAGGAGGAAUGGCAAAGGCAAACAAAUGCCCAGGAUUUCACAGUUGGUAUCUUUCCGGGGGUUUUUGGUUAGUUUUUUUGUUUGUUUGUUUUGUGCUUUGUGAUCGUUCUGAAAACUGAUGGGGACUUUCUUUCUUUCUUUACAUCUCCAAAUCCCAUGGCUGUCUGAUAAUGGAGAGGAGGGGAUGGCUGCUGGGCAGACUCCUGAGAUGCUUUCUCUUUUAGUUCACAGUCAGCAACCUCUGAUUUCACCUUCACUCUCUUUCUCCAUUAGGCAACAGCCUUCUAUGGUUACAAUGUCAUUUUGGCAGGGGCUGGGAGGAUAGAGAAACAACACUGCCUUGUUUCAAAGGCAGUCUCAUGGGUGAAAAAAGCCCUGCUAGCAUGUAGCCUGCCUCUGCUUUUGCUUCUCUUGGGCUCCUGCGUGUUUCUGCAACACAUGCAAUUUACUACAAGCUAGAAUAGAUCGAAGCCCCACAGAAAAUAAAUCACUGUUACUCGCAGAGAACUCUUAGUGUUUAAUUAACCCCUGGACCUCAAACAGCUCUCUGUAAACUCUCUCUUGCUGAACAGCAGAAUCUAUAUGGCAGUCCUUUGUUCUGGGAUGUGAGUUCCUUUGGUCAAAAAAGACAAACUCCUUACCUAUUCUCAACAGCGACUAAAAAACUAGUCUCCAGAUGGUUUAAAGAUAAAAAUAAGGCAAGUUGUUUCUGUCCGCUGUUAAGAUCAAAACCUGAUCCAGAGAGAGUGCGUAGCCCUUGUCUCCUAAUGAUCCUCAGUCUAUUAUCCGGACUCUCCUCAGGCUACUGUGGUUAGGAUGGGAAGGAAACUCUGCUAGGUCAGAUAUUCUCUGCACCUCAGGGGCUCUCUCUGGUUAGUGAAUUAUUUAGUCUCCUUUAGAAUUUUUAGGCAUCCAUCUCUUCAGAAACACAGCAUCCUCUGGUGACAGCUUUGAAUCUUCAGUCACUUCAGAGAGUACCCUCUGAGGAACCAGAGUCUAAGGCUGCAGGUCUAUGACAGAAGGGAAAUCUCUUUUGUGAACACUUCAACUCCAGGAGUAGAUUCCAAAGACUCUUUCUUCUAAAAGUGAAUCCUGGACAGAUCCAUAGGGGAAGGGAGAAUUUAGAGGCCCUAAACCAGCCAUCAUUCACCUUUUAUGAGUCAGAGACUCUUUAAAAAGCUCCCCAGAUCUGUGAAUCCUCUGUCUAGACAGAGGAAUGCCCCAGUGACCCCUUUUUGAUUAUUCUUACAGCACCGUUGAAGCACAGGCUCAUAAUAUUUGGUUCAAUUAUUGGUCAAAAUGAGGCCACCUAUCAUGGCUUUAGUGAAGGCACAGUGAGGAAGGAAGGUUUAAAAAAUGGCUUUAGCAUCCAAAAGUGAGGUACACAGAGCAUGUGGAGAAGGGACACACUCUCCAAGGCCAUCCCUGAUUUCUGCUCUUAGAACUAGGCUGACACCACCCCUUAUCUCCUGGGAACAUGGACCCUGGCUACAUCUUGCUCUGCUUUCUCUUAUGGUCCUGGUGGAGGGCUCAGAACCUCUUCAGAAACCAAGCCUUUGUGCCCUUUUCUAUGGACAAAUUCCUGCCACACACGGUUUCUAGGCUAGUGUCAUUGUGUUUUAUGGCCUUUUGGAGUUCUGGACUCCUCUCUCCAAGAUGUGAAAGGACUUUGAAUUAUUUUUCUCACAACUCAUGUCUACCAUUCUUGAUCCUAGACAGUCUGCUCAGCUGAAUCCAGGAGACGAAGGAGCAUCAAGUAUGGCCAGUUUCCUGUCCAGGGCCUCUGGAGAUUCUGAAGCCUGGACUUCCUGAUAAAAUGCACUGCAUUUCAAUGCCUUUGUGCCUUCUCCACUUUCCUCAUAAACAUUAUUUUGUCAUAUUCUGUCA